rnacentral:tRNA from 1 species
GCACCUGUAGCUCAGUAGGUAGAGCACCUGCGUGAAGUGCAGGGUGUCGCUGGUUCAAUUCCGGCCGGGUGCACCA